rnacentral:rRNA from 1 species
CCGAAGAUGGCGACCGGCGCACGGGUGAGUAACACGUAUCCAACCUGCCGAUAACUCUGGAAUAGCCUUUCGAAAGAAAGAUUAAUACCGGAUGGCAUACGAAUAUCGCAUGAUAUUUUUAUUAAAGAAUUUCGGUUAUCGAUGGGGAUGCGUUCCAUUAGUUUGUUGGCGGGGUAACGGCCCACCAAGACAACGAUGGAUAGGGGUUCUGAGAGGAAGGUCCCCCACAUUGGAACUGAGACACGGUCCAA